UGGGGAAUAUUGCACAAUGGGGGAAACCCUGAUGCAGCGACGCCGCGUGAGCGAUGAAGGCUUUCGAGUCGUAAAGCUCUGUCCUAUGGGAAGAUAAUGACGGUACCAUAGAAGAAAGCCCCGGCUAAUUACGUGCCAGCAGCCGCGGUAAUACGUAAGGGGCGAGCGUUGUCCGGAAUUAUUGGGCGUAAAGAGUGCGUAGGCGGCAAAUUAAGUCAGAUGUGAAAACUAAGGGCUCAACCCAUAGAUUGCAUCUGAAACUGAUAUGCUUGAGUCAAGGAGAGGAAAGUGGAAUUCCUAGUGUAGCGGUGGAAUGCGUAGAUAUUAGGAGGAAUACCGGUGGCGAAGGCGACUUUCUGGACUUGAACUGACACUGAGGCACGAAAGCGUGGGUAGCAAACAGG
rnacentral:rRNA from 1 species